rnacentral:misc_RNA from 1 species
GCCCUCACAACACAGUCCUAGAUUUUCCUGCUGGUAGGGUGCCUGUUGGUGAGGUGGCUGUUGAUGGGACUGUUCAUGGUGUGGUUGACACCUCCAUUGAGCAGCUUUAUGAGAAUGUCUGUGAUAUGCAGAGUUCUGAUCUAUCGCCUUCGAGGCAUAGUUUUGGAUCUGAUGGUGAGGAGUCUCGGAUUGACUUAGAAUUGCGACAUCUUGUGGGAGGAGAAAUGAGAGAGGUUGAGAUAAUGGAAGAGGAAGAGGUAGACAAGCCAGAGCACGACAAUCAUAGUAACUCCUCUUCUAAGAAGGGAGGUUCAUCUGGAAGUAAGAAGUCAGGAAAAUUGGACAAGAAUGCAAGCACCAAAUCCAUUUCUUCAAACACCUCAAGGAAAGGUUCUCACUUAGCAUUGGACUCUGAAGCAUCAGCAAAGUUGAGUCCCAAGGGCAAAAGUCCUCCAGAGAAACCCCCUAUUGAUAAGCGAAAUGAUAAGAAUUUGAAAAAAGCAAAUGGAGUAGUCAAAUCAGCAAAGAAGCGAAGGAAUUCUCCUUUAGGAGGUUUGAAGUUAAAGAAUGAAGCUGAGGAUUCAUCUGAAUCAGGGUUGGACAAUCCAGAUCUUGGACGAUUUUUGCUAAAGCAAGCAAGGGAUUUGAUUUCUUCAGGGGAUAAUCCCCAGAAGGCUCUUGAAUUAGCUCUUCGAGCAGCCAAAUCAUUUGAAAUUUGUGCAAAUGGGACACCCAGUUUAGAAUUGGUGAUGAGCCUGCAUGUUGUGGCAGCAAUAUACUGCAGCAUAGGCCAAUAUAACAAAGCCAUUCCUGUUCUUGAGCACUCAAUUGAGAUUCCGGUGAUUGAGGAAGGCCAAGAGCAUGCCCUUGCUAAGUUUGCUGGUCACAUGCAGUUGGGUGAUACUUACGCAAUGCUGGGCCAACUUGAGAAUUCAACAAAGUGCUACUCAACUGGGUUGGAAGUCCAGAAACAAGUUCUGGGAGAAACAGACCCUCGAGUUGGUGAGACCUGUAGGUAUUUGGCUGAAGCCCAUGUUCAAGCAUUACAGUUUGAUGAAGCUCAGAGGCUUUGUGAGAUGGCUCUAGACAUCCAUAUAGAGAAUGGCACACCCGCUUCUCUCGAAGAGGUUGCUGAUCGGAGGCUUAUGGGUCUCAUACGUGAAACAAAGGGAGAUCAUGAAGCAGCUCUUGAGCAUCUUGUUUUAGCUAGCAUGGCAAUGGUGGCGAAUGACCAGGAAUCUGAGGUUGCCUCUGUUGAUUGUAGCAUUGGAGAUGCUUACUUAUCUUUGUCUAGAUAUGAUGAGGCUGUUUUUGCUUAUCAAAAAGCUCUGACUGCUUUUAAGACCACAAAGGGAGAGCAUCACCCAGCUGUUGGUUCAGUAUUUGUACGCAUGGCUGACUUAUACAACAAAACUGGGAAAUUAAGGGAAUGUAAAUCAUACUGUGAGAACGCUCUUCGGAUCUAUGAAAAACCCAUGCCUGGCAUCCCUCCAGAGGAGAUUGCAACUGGUCUCACUGAUGUUUCUGCUAUAUAUGAAUCAAUGAAUGAGCUUGAGCAAGCAAUCAAGUUGCUGCAGAAGGCAUUAAAAAUAUAUAAUGAUGCCCCUGGUCAGCAGAGCACAAUAGCUGGAAUUGAAGCCCAAAUGGGGGUCAUGUACUACAUGCUGGGGAAUUAUUCUGAAUCUUACAGCUACUUCAAGGAUGCAAUUUCAAAGCUCCGUGCAAGUGGAGAGAGGAAAACUGCUUUCUUUGGCAUUGCUCUUAACCAAAUGGG